rnacentral:misc_RNA from 1 species
GAUGAAGAACGUAGCGAAAUGCGAUAACUAAUGUGAAUUGAAGAAUUCAGUGAAUCAUCGAAUCUUUGAACGCACAUUGCGCCCCUUGGUAUUCCGGGGGGCAUGCCUCUUCCAGCGUCAUUUCACCCCUCAAGCUCUGCUUGGUUUUGGGCCGCGCCGGCAACGGCGGGCCUCGAAAAUAGUGGCGACGCCAUCGUGCUCUCAGCGUAGUAAUUCUUCUCGCUGUUGGGUCCCGGUGGUCGUCCGCCAGCAACCCCCAACUUUCUUAAGUUUGACCUGGGAUGAGGUAGGGAUACCCGCUGAACUUAAGCAUAUCAAUAAGCGGAGGA